rnacentral:rRNA from 1 species
GAGUGGCGGACGGGUGAGGAAUACAUCGGAAUCUACCUUUUCGUGGGGGAUAACGUAGGGAAACUUACGCUAAUACCGCAUACGACCUUAGGGUGAAAGCGGAGGACCUUCGGGCUUCGCGCGGAUAGAUGAGCCGAUGUCGGAUUAGCUAGUUGGCGGGGUAAAGGCCCACCAAGGCGACGAUCCGUAGCUGGUCUGAGAGGAUGAUCAGCCACACUGGAACUGAGACACGGUCCAGACUCCUACGGGAGGCAGCAGUGGGGAAUAUUGGACAAUGGGCGCAAGCCUGAUCCAGCCAUGCCGCGUGGGUGAAGAAGGCCUUCGGGUUGUAAAGCCCUUUUGUUGGGAAAGAAAAGCAGUCGGUUAAUACCCGAUUGUUCUGACGGUACCCAAAGAAUAAGCACCGGCUAACUUCGUGCCAGCAGCCGCGGUAAUACGAAGGGUGCAAGCGUUACUCGGAAUUACUGGGCGUAAAGCGUGCGUAGGUGGUUGUUUAAGUCCGUUGUGAAAGCCCUGGGCUCAACCUGGGAAUUGCAGUGGAUACUGGGCAACUAGAGUGUGGUAGAGGAUGGCGGAAUUCCCGGUGUAGCAGUGAAAUGCGUAGAGAUCGGGAGGAACAUCUGUGGCGAAGGCGGCCAUCUGGACCAACACUGACACUGAGGCACGAAAGCGUGGGGAGCAAACAGGAUUAGA